rnacentral:pre_miRNA from 1 species
GCUCAGUAGCCAGUGUAGAUCCUGUCUUUUGUAAUCAGUAGCUACAUCUGGCUACUGGGUCU